CCCUUAGAUGUUCUGGGCCGCACGCGCGCUACACUGACGAAGUCAGCGAGCAUGUCCUACGCCGACAGGUGCGGGGAAUCUUGUCAAACUUCGUCGUGAUGGGGAUUGAUUAUUGAAAUUCUUGAUCAUCAACGAGGAAUUCCUAGUAAGCGCAAGUCAGCAGCUUGCGUUGAUUACGUCCCUGCCCUUUGUACACACCGCCCGUCGCUACUACCGAUUGAAUGGUUUAAUGAGAUCUUCGGAUUGGCGCCACUGCGGCUCAGCAAUGGGCUCGGUGGAUGCCGAAAAGUUGAUCAAACUUGAUCAUUUAGAGGAAGUAAAAGUCGUAACA
rnacentral:rRNA from 1 species